rnacentral:snRNA from 1 species
UGCAAUUGUUUCUUUUCAGUUCGUGUAAAUCUUUCGCUUUUUACUAAAGAGUUCUGUGGAACAAGAGCUUAGAGAAUAAACAAGUUUUUGGUGUCCUGCAUGAAUGCAGAGG